AUGGAAUCGAAUGGAAUCAUCAUCAAAUGGAAUCAAAUGGAAUCAUCGAAUGUACUCGAAUGGAGUCAUCAUCGAAUGGAAUUGAAUGGAUUCAUCGAAUGGACAUGAAUGGAAUCACCAUUGAAUGGAAUCGAAAGGAAUGAUGGUUUGGACUCCAAUGUAAUCACCGAAUGGACUUGAAUGGAAUCAUCAUUGAAAGGAAUCAAGUGAAAUCAUCAUCAGAUGGAAUCAAAUGGAAUCAUCACUGAAUGGAAUCAAAUGAAAUCACCGAAUUGAAUCAAAUGGAAUGAUCAUCAAAGGGAAUCAAAGGAAAUCAUCGAAUGGGAUCAAGUGGAGUCAUCGAAUGGAAUCGAGUGGAAUCAUCGAAUGGAUUUGAACAGAAUCAACAUCGAAUGGAAUCAAAUGGAAUCAUCGAAUGGACUCGAAUGGAAUCAUCUAAUGCACUCGAAUGGAAUAAUCAUCGAAUGUAAUCUAAUGGACUCAUCCAAUGGAAUCAAAUGGAAUCAUCAAAUGGAAUCGAACGGAAUCAUCAUCAAACGGAACCGAAUGGAAUCAUUGAAUGGAAUCAAAGGCAAUCAUGAUCGAAUGGAAUCAAAUGGAAACAUCAUUGAAUAGAAUUGAAUGGAAUCAUCACAUGGAAUCGAAUGGAAUCAUCGUAAAUGGAAUCAAGUGGAAUCAUCGAAUGGAAUCUAAGGGAAUCAUCGUCGAAUGGAAUUGAAUGGAAUCUUUGAAUGGAUUCGAUUGGAAUCAAGAUCGAAUGGACUUGAAUUGAAUUAUCGAAUGGAUUUGAAUGGAAUCAUCAUCGAAUGGAAUCCAAUGGAAUCAUGGAAUGGAAUCGAAUGGAAUCAUCAUUGACUUGAAUUGAAUGGAAUCAUCAAAUGGACUCGAAUGGAAUCAUCAUAGAAUAGAAUCGAAUGCAAUUAUCAAAUGGACUUGAAUGAAAUCACCUUUGAAUGGAAUCAAAGGGAAUGAUUGAAAGGAAUCGAAUGCCAUCAUCAUCGAAUGGAAUCGAAAGGAAUCAUCGAAUGGAAUUGAAUGGAAUCACCGUUGAAUGGACUCGAAUGGAAUCAUCAUCGUAUGGAAUCGAAUGGAAUCAUCAUCAUAUGGAAUCAAAUGGAAUCAUCGAAUGGACACGAAUGGAAUCAUCGCCAAAUGGAAUCAAGUGGAUCAUCGAAUAGAAACUAAUGGAAUCAUUGUUGAAAGAAAUGGAAUGGAAUCUUUGAAUGGAAUUGAGUGGAAUCACCAAUGAAUGGAAUAGAAUGGAAUCAUCGUCAAAUGGAAUAGAAUGGAAUAAUGGAAUGGACACGAAUGGAAACGUCAUCGAACGGAAACCGGUGGAACCAUAGAAUGAACACAAAAUGAAUCAUAAUCGAAUGCAAUCGAAAGGAAUCAUCAUUGAAUGCAAUCACAUGGAAUCAUCACAGAAUGGAAUCGUACGGAAUCAUCAUCGAAUGCAAUUGAAUGGAAUCAUCAUUGAAAGGAAUCAAGUGAAAUCAUCAUCAGAUGGAAUCAAAUGGAAUCAUCAUUAAAUGGAAUUGAAUGGAAUCAUCAAGUGGACACGAAUACAAUACAUAAAUGGACUCGAAUGGAAUCAUUGAAUGGAACCGAAUGGAAUCAUCGAUUGGACUUGAAUGGAAUCAUCGUCAAGUGGAAUCAGAUGGAAUCAACGAAGGGAUUUGAAUGGAAUAAUCGAAUGAAUUCGGAUGGAAUCCACAUAGAAUGGAAUUGAAUUGAAUCAUUCAAUGGACUCCAAUGGAAUAAUCAUCGAAUGGAAUCAAAUGAAAUCAUGAUCAGAUGGAAUCAAAUGGAAUCAUCACUGAAUGGAAUCGAAUGGAAUCAUCGAAUGGACUCGAAUGGAAUCAUAGAAUGGAAUAGAACAGAAUCAUCGAAUGGACUUGAAUGGAAUCAUCAUCCAAUGGAAUCAGAUGGAAUCAUCAUCGAAUGGAAACAAAUGGAAUUAAUGAAUGGAAUUGAAAGGAAUCAUCUUCGAAUGAAAUCAAAUAGAAGCAUCGAAUGAAAUCGAAUGGAAUCGGAGAAUGGAUUCAGAUGGAAUCAUC
rnacentral:lncRNA from 1 species